rnacentral:rRNA from 1 species
GAUGAACGCUGACAGAAUGCUUAACACAUGCAAGUCAACUUGAACUUCGGUUUGGGUGGCGGACGGGUGAGUAACGCGUACAGAACUUGCCUCACAGAUAGGGACAACAUUUGGAAACGAAUGCUAAUACCUGAUAUUAUGAUUAUAUGGCAUCGUAUAAUUAUGAAAGCUAUAUGUGCUGUGAGAGAGCUUUGCGUCCCAUUAGCUAGUUGGAGAGGUAACGGCUCACCAAGGCGAUGAUAGGUAGCCGGCCUGAGAGGGUGAUCGGCCACAAGGGGACUGAGACACGGCCCUUACUCCUACGGGAGGCAGCAGUGGGGAAUAUUGGACAAUGGACCAAGAGUCUGAUCCAGCAAUUCUGUGUGCACGAUGAAGUUUUUCGGAAUGUAAAGUGCUUUCAGUUGGGAAGAAAAAAAUGACGGUACCAACAGAAGAAGUGACGGCUAAAUACGUG